GAUGAACGCUGGCGGCGUGCUUAACACAUGCAAGUCGAACGAAGCACCUACCAAGGAUUUCCUCGGAAUGACUAAUAGGUGACUGAGUGGCGGACGGGUGAGUAACGCGUGGGUAACCUACCUCAUACAGGGGGAUAACAGUUAGAAAUGACUGCUAAUACCGCAUAAGCGCACGAUAUCGCAUGAUAUAGUGUGAAAAACUCCGGUGGUAUGAGAUGGACCCGCGUCUGAUUAGCUAGUUGGUAAGGUAACGGCUUACCAAGGCGACGAUCAGUAGCCGGCCUGAGAGGGUGAACGGCCACAUUGGAACUGAGACACGGUCCAAACUCCUACGGGAGGCAGCAGUGGGGGAAUAUUGCACAAUGGGGGAAACCCUGAUGCAGCGACGCCGCGUGAGUGAUGAAGUAUUUCGGUAUGUAAAAGCUCUAUCAGCAGGGAAGAUAAUGACGGUACCUGAGG
rnacentral:rRNA from 1 species